UCGACCUGAGGUCAGGCAAGAACACCCGCUGAACUUAAGCAUAUCAAUAAGCGGAGGAAU
rnacentral:rRNA from 1 species